AUAGGUGGGAGGCUUUGAAACCAGGACGCCAGUUUUGGCGGAGCCAUCCUUGGGAUACCACCCUUGUAGUACUGGGACUCUAACCAUAGGCCAUGAAUCUGGUCUUGGGACACUGUCAGGUGGGCAGGUUGACUGGGGCGGUCGCCUCCCAAAAGGUAACGGAGGCGCUCAAAGGUUCUCUCAGUACGGGCGGAAAUCGUACGUAGAGUGUAAAGGCAAAAGAGAGCUUGAUUGCAAGACAUACAGGUCGAGCAAGGAUGAAAAUCGGACUUAGUGAU
rnacentral:rRNA from 1 species